CAGCCAUUAAGCGAUAGACAAAAGUGAACGUGCUGAGGAUGGCAACAAAAAUGGAUGGAAAGAGUCUGGGUCACUGAUGACACUGUUUAGCCUCGGACAACCAUCUACCUCUAAACUUCUUGUAGGAAAAGCCAUCGACUGAUAAAGUAUUGUCGUUCACAGAUUUGUUGGCAGUGGUGGGAUCCAAAGCAAACUUAUGAUGGCAUUCGGGGACAACAAGAAACACAGGCGUGGUGCCCCACAAGCCCUUUUGAGUUCACUGUUGUUCCCGCCGUUUCUGAAGGCCAUUGGAUUCAUUAUCAAAUCACUGGCCCAGAAAUUGAUGUCUCCAUUGCAAUCAACUGGGGACACUGGAAGACAGAUUGUCCUCAAAAGCCCUGUGUGAAUUCUUCAACAUCAACUCCAAUGCACCUGUAUGGACUCCUCCUAGAAUUGAUGAAACUCAGGAAUUUUUGACCUCACCUAUUCCUCUCAAAAUGCUUGAAAAGAUCAGGACAUUGGAAACAGAAUCGUCCUGAGCUUACUCUAUGCCUUUGUGAUAUAGAUUUUCUACCCCC